CGGUGAGAUAGUGGCGGACGGGUGAGUAACACGUAGUUGACCUGCCUUUUAGUGGGGAAUAACUCCUCGAAAGAGGGGCUAAUACCGCAUACGUUCUUCCUUGUUGGAGGAAGAAGAAACCCUUUACGGGGGCUAAAAGAGGGGACUGCGGCGGAUUAGCUAGAUGGUGGGGUAACGGCCUACCAUGGCGACGAUCCGUAGCUGGUCUGAGAGGACGACCAGCCACACUGGGACUGAGACACGGCCCAG
rnacentral:rRNA from 1 species